rnacentral:rRNA from 1 species
CAGUAGCCACGGUAAUACGUAGGGUGCAAGCGUUAAUCGGAAUUACUGGGCGUAAAGCGUGCGCAGGCGGUUUUGUAAGACAGAGGUGAAAUCCCCGGGCUCAACCUGGGAACUGCCUUUGUGACUGCAAGGCUAGAGUACGGCAGAGGGGGAUGGAAUUCCGCGUGUAGCAGUGAAAUGCGUAGAUAUGCGGAGGAACACCGAUGGCGAAGGCAAUCCCCUGGGCCUGUACUGACGCUCAUGCACGAAAGCGUGGGGAGCAAACAGGAUUAGAUACCCGAGUAGUCCCUGUCUCUUAUAC